CAGUCGCCGCGGUAAUACGUAGGUGGCAAGCGUUGUCCGGAAUUAUUGGGCAUAAAGGGCAUCUAGGCGGCCCUGUAAGUCUGGGGUGAAAACCUGCGGCUCAACCGCAGGCCUGCCCCGGAAACUACAGGGCUAGAGUAUCGGAGAGGUGGACGGAACUGCACGAGUAGAGGUGAAAUUCGUAGAUAUGUGCAGGAAUGCCGAUGAUGAAGAUAGUUCACUGGACGGUAACUGACGCUGAAGUGCGAAAGCUAGGGGAGCAAACAGGAUUAGAUACCCCCGUAGUCCCUGUCUCUUAUAC
rnacentral:rRNA from 1 species